GAUGAACGCUGGCGGCGUGCCUAAUACAUGCAAGUCGAGCGAACAGACGAGGAGCUUGCUCCUCUGACGUUAGCGGCGGACGGGUGAGUAACACGUGGAUAACCUACCUAUAAGACUGGGAUAACUUCGGGAAACCGGAGCUAAUACCGGAUAACAUGUUGAACCGCAUGGUUCAACAGUGAAAGACGGUCUUGCUGUCACUUAUAGAUGGAUCCGCGCCGCAUUAGCUAGUUGGUAAGGUAACGGCUUACCAAGGCAACGAUGCGUAGCCGACCUGAGAGGGUGAUCGGCCACACUGGAACUGAGACACGGUCCAGACUCCUACGGGAGGCAGCAGUAGGGAAUCUUCCGCAAUGGGCGAAAGUCUGACGGAGCAACGCCGCGUGAGUGAAGAAGGUCUUCGGAUCGUAAAACUCUGUUAUUAGGGAAGAACAAAUGUGUAAGUAACUAUGCGCGUCUUGACGGUACCUAAUCAGAAAGCCACGGCUAACUACGUG
rnacentral:rRNA from 1 species